AGCGUUGACCCUCGAGAGCGGCCCCCCGUAGAG
rnacentral:misc_RNA from 1 species